rnacentral:rRNA from 1 species
AAAUGAAUAGACGGGGGCCCGCACAAGCAGUGGAGUAUGUGGUUUAAUUCGAGGCAACGCGAAGAACCUUACCAGGGUUUGACAUCCAGCGCUAGGGCUAGAGAUAGUUUGUUCUCUUCGGAGACGCUGAGACAGGUGGUGCAUGGUUGUCGUCAGCUCGUGUCGUGAGAUGUUCGGUUAAGUCCGGCAACGAGCGCAACCCCUGUUGCCAGUUGCCAUCAUUGGGUUGGGCACUUUGGCGAGACUGCCGUUGACAAAACGGAGGAAGGUGGGGAUGACGUCAAAUCAUCAUGCCCCUUAUAUCCUGGGCUACACACGUACUACAAUGGGCGCAGACAGCGGGCAGCGAAGCGGCGACGCGGAGCGAAUCCUGAAAGGCGCCCUCAGUUCGGAUUGCAGGCUGCAACUCGCCUGCAUGAAGCCGGAAUUGCUAGUAAUGGCAGGUCAGCAUACUGCCGUGAAUACGUUCCCGGGCCUUGUACACACCGCCCGU